GGCGGUGGUGAGCGGGUUGACGAUUUCCGGUGUGCUGGUGGCACUCCUGGUGAUCGACGCGGAACUGGCCGUCGUGCUGGUCCUCGUGGUGCCC
rnacentral:tRNA from 1 species